GAGAAGCAAAGCCGCGAGGUAGAGCAAAUCUCAAAAAAACAAUCUCAGUUCAGACUGCAGGCUGCAACUCGCCUGCACGAAGUCGGAAUUGCUAGUAAUCGUAGGUCAGCAUACUACGGUGAAUACGUUCCCGGGCCUUGUACACACCGCCCGUCAAACCAUGAGAGUUGGCAACACCCGAAGUCGGUAGUCUAACCGCAAGGAGGACGCCGCCGAAGGUGGGGUUGAUGAUUAGGGUUAAGUCGUAACAAGGUAUC
rnacentral:rRNA from 1 species